AUCCUACGGGGGGCAGCAGUGGGGGAUAUUGCACAAUGGGGGAAACCCUGAUGCAGCGACGCCGCGUGGGCGAAGAAGUAUUUCGGUAUGUAAACUUCUAUCAGCAGGGAAGAAAAUGACGGUACCUGACUAAGAAGCCCCGGCUAACUACGUGCCAGCAGCCGCGGUAAUACGUAGGGGGCAAGCGUUAUCCGGAUUUACUGGGUGUAAAGGGAGCGUAGACGGCAUGGCAAGUCUGAUGUGAAAACCCGGGGCUCAACCCC
rnacentral:rRNA from 1 species